GCUGCGGGACAGAACAUACACGUAUAUACUACUAAUGUAUUCACUUAGAUUCUAACAAAUAUUCGCAAAAUGAUUCAAUUUUCUAGAUUUAAACAAAAAUUGAUGCGAUUUGAUUAAUACUCAAUAAAACUAAAAUGUAGAUAAAUCAAUGUAAACGUAUGGGCUCAGUCUUAGAGAUUAUAGAUUUAGUCUAGUAUAGAGAUUAUAGUCUUAUAGAUUGAGCAUCUAUAAAAGUCUAAAUUUUAAACUUGACUAUCGGUGUACUCUAUUUCGGGACAGAGUAGGUAAACAAUAAAAUAAUAAUAAUUGUUUAUUAUUAUUAUUUUUUUGCGAUUUUAUCAUAACGAAAUAAAUUAAGAGCCAGCGUAGUCUUGUUAUGCGCGACUUUUUUGUUAGCGUGUAUCUAUAGUAGACGUAUAAAUCAUAAAAUAGGUAUUCGGAUGUAUGUCGUUUACCCCACGCAUACCUUCCAAUACUCCACUAUAUAGGCUGCUUGCAGUGGCAAGUAACCUCCUACUUACUAAGUGAUUUCACAUGUUUACAUG